AUACAGCCUAAUCGAAUUUUUUUUCUUCAGUCCGACUCAACCCAAGCGAAACGAAAGGCGCGCUUCUGGCCUUCGGCCCUACGCGGUGCUCGGCAUUUGGCCUUAAAAUUUGAAAACUCUGCAAAUUGACUGUUGUUAUUUGUUGGCAUUGAAUAAAUAAAGUGUUUCCAUGCAGCCGUUGCUAAAUAAGUUAAACAUAGUCGUCGUGUAAAAAAGCAAUUCGAUGGAGCGAUAAAGAUAUCUCAGAGAUGCCACCUCAUAUCCGCGAGUUCCACCAAGAGAGCAACGAUGCCCCAAUAUGAGGUUCGUGAAUAUAUCAUAGAUAGUUUAUAAUAUGUGUAACAUAUCCUUCAUUUCUCAAUAGCUAUGUAUCUUUUAUAAAAAUGUAAUGUUGUUCUAUAAAGUUUAGUUUUGUCAA